GGACAAUGGGCGCAAGCCUGAUCCAGCAAUGCCGCGUGUGUGAAGAAGGCCUUCGGGUUGUAAAGCACUUUUGUCCGGAAAGAAAACGUCGUGGUUAAUAAAACGAAAAAAGAUGACGGUACCGGAAGAAUAAGCACCGGCUAACUACGUGCCAGCAGCCGCGGUAAUACGUAGGGUGCAAGCGUUAAUCGGAAUUACUGGGCGUAAAGCGUGCGCAGGCGGUCCGCUAAGACAGAUGUGAAAUCCCCGGGCUUAACCUGGGAACUGCAUUUGUGACUGGCGGGCUAGAAUUAGGCCAGAGGGGGGUAGAAUUCCACGUGUAGCAGUGAAAUGCGUAGAGAGAGGGAGGAAUACCGAUGGCGAAGGCAGCCCCCUGGGCCAAUACUGACGCUCAUGCACGAAAGCGUGGGGAGCAAUCAGGAUUAGAUACCCUGGUGUCCACGCC
rnacentral:rRNA from 1 species